rnacentral:rRNA from 1 species
ACUUAGUGGCGGACUGGUGAGUAACGCGUGGAUAACCUGCCUUACACUGGGGGAUAACACUUAGAAAUAGGUGCUAAUACCGCAUAAGCGCACGGAGCCGCAUGGCUCAGUGUGAAAAACUCCGGUGGUGUAAGAUGGAUCCGCGUCUGAUUAGCUGGUUGGCGGGGUAGAAGCCCACCAAGGCGACGAUCAGUAGCCGGCCUGAGAGGGUGACCGGCCACAUUGGGACUGAGACACGGCCCAAACUCCUACGGGAGGCAGCAGUGGGGAAUAUUGCACAAUGGGGGAAACCCUGAUGCAGCAACGCCGCGUGAGUGAAGAAGUCAUUCGUGAUGUAAAGCUCUAUCAGCAGGGAAGAAAAUGACGGUACCUGAGUAAGAAGCCCCGGCUAACUACGUGCCAGCAGCCGCGGUAAUACGUAGGGGGCAAGCGUUAUCCGGAUUUACUGGGUGUAAAGGGAGCGUAGACGGCCAGACAAGUCUGAAGUGAAAAUCCAGCGCUUAACGUUGGAAGUGCUUUGGAAACUGCCGGGCUAGAGUGCAGGAGGGGCAGGCGGAAUUCCUAGUGUAGCGGUGAAAUGCGUAGAUAUUAGGAGGAACACCAGUGGCGAAGGCGGCCUGCUGGACUGCAACUGACGUUGAGGCUCGAAGGCGUGGGGAGCAAACAGGAUUAGAUACCCUGGUAGUCCACGCGGUAAACGAUGAUUACUAGGUGUCGGGGGGCUAGAGCCCUUCGGUGCCGUC